rnacentral:rRNA from 1 species
GGCAUCACGAGAACUAAUCUGUCUCCCUCCCCCAAUCAGUGAAACUGAUCUCCCCGUGCAGAAGCGGGGAUAAAACCAUAAGACGAGAAGACCCUGUGGAGCUUCAAAUCAAAAAUCAACUGCUUCACCCACCUGAACCAAGGACACACUUAAACAGACCUGAUUAAGAUUUUUAGCUGGGGCGGCUGUGGAGAAAAAAAAAUCCUCCACGAAGAUUCAUGCUUAAAGCUACCGCUAAAGGCAUUAAUAAACUUAACUUUAAUUGACCCAAUUUUUGAUCAACGGACCAAGUUACCCCAGGGAUAACAGCGCAAUCCACUUUCAGAGUCCCUAUCGACAAGUGGGCUUACGACCUCGAUGUUGGAUCAGGGCAUCCAAGUGGUGCAGCCGCUACUAAAGGUUCGUUUGUUCAACGAUUAAAGCCCU